UCAAUUAUCUAAAUUCUGCGCUGCCCAUUUCACCAGAAGCUGCAGAGGCCCCGAAAAAAUUCCAGCAAAGAAAAGAAGGAACCUUUGUAGUUGUGGAAGAACUACUCCGCAUUUAGUGCUCACUGACGAGAGAGAGAGAGAGAGACGUCCUACUAACGUUUGGACGGACGUACGUACGUUACUUAACUAAAAGUUACGUACGACGNUUGGAACCUCCAUGAUCUUCUUCUCCUUCAUUCUCUCCGACCCGCCCGUUUGCCGCCACCGUCGGUUCCCAAGUCCCAACCGCUCAUCACCGUGUUUUCUCCGAUAAUCUUCUCUUUUCCUAACAGCUCUACACACCCCACUAAAUUCAACUUAAUUAUCUAAACUUUGCUGCCCAUUUCAGCAUAGGUUGCAGAUGCCGUGAAAAGUUACCAGCAAAGAAAAAAAUAGAACCUUCCUAGUUGUGGAAGAACUAGUUGCAAAGAACUACUCCGCAUUUAGUGCUCACUGACGAGACGAGAGAGAGAGAGAGGUCCUUCAACUUUGAGCGAUCGAUUCAAAUAGUCAGCAGAAAAACUUAAAAUAGCAUAUCACGCAUCAAAAUAGAUAAAAAAAAAAAUUUUAAUAAGAAUGGGAAUUGAGUAGUCAAUUCGAUUGAGUAAGAAAAAAACAGAAACAAUUAAUAAACAAGUAUACAAGGAACCAAUUGUGUCGUGGCUGUCUGCAACUCUGCAUUUAUUGCGCUGUGGGGGUAAUCUCGUCUUACUUCCUUUGUUCAAGAUUUUGCUACGAAUUUCUUUGACUUAGUAUAUAUGUAUAUGUAUCUGUAUACAUGUGUGUGUGUAAGAGAGAGAGAGAGAGAGUAGCAAAUGUGAAUUGCAGAAGGGAUUGCUGAUUGGGAGGCAGGUUCCUGGAAAAGGAAACUCAGUUGAAAAGAAACGAAUUUUCUUCUCUUAUUAGUUUCAUAAAGUGGAAAUUCUUUCUAAUUUAAUAG
rnacentral:lncRNA from 1 species